GGGGAUGAAAGGAUUUCGACGGGGAUUUUGAACCCGGGUAAGCGAGCAGUGGUGUGGGACCACUUUAAAACUCACAACCUUUAAAAUUAAACGACAACAAUAAAGUUGCAUUAGCUGCUUAACGCAGCUCGUCCUGACCUGAAUUACCGCGCUCAGGUUAAGGGCGUCGAUUAGCGGUGAACGUGAACGGAGGAGUAGCCUUGCAAUCCGUCAUGCAUCAAAGGAUACCGAAGCGGACAGCCUGUUUAUCGGCGGUCCGUCGGGGGAAUCUUAAAAGAUAACCUACGCUCGUAGAAAGCUCGGAGAAUGAGUUUUCGGACGCGGUUUCGAUUACCGCCAUCUCCACCA
rnacentral:tmRNA from 1 species